rnacentral:lncRNA from 1 species
GUUUGAGAAGAUGCGUCUGGUGUGUUGAGGAUAUGGAGAUGCACUCCAAUUUCCUGGCCAGAAAGGAGGUGUUUAAGGCGGAGUAUGCCUCAUACCUGCAGCAGCACUCGGAUCUCCGCGCCAUGAUGGCUGACUUCUUGCAGUUCCUGUUACUAUAAAAACUGAGUGACAUUUAUCAUGUUCACCUGCAAGGAUCUCGCGGGGGUCGCCUCCCGCCGAUUCAACACCUUUUCACCUUGAGGACACACACUAUGGCUGUGUCUCAAUAGUCUAAUAGCUUCCUCUCACAGGCACUUUAGUGAGGACAAUACUAUUCUGGUUGGCAGUCACUAGUAUGUACAGUGGUGGCCCUCGAGAUCUAGAGUACUGAUCAAGUAUGAAUGCUUUUAUGGAUGUUUAGUUUUUUAUUUUGUGAUACAGUUUUUACUGUCUACUGAUUUUGUUUUGAUUCUGUAUUGAAACAAAUUCCGAUCAACUCUGUUGAUAUGGCAAUCGCAAGUUACGCUUAUGUCAGUUGGUGUGCAUAAAUACAAUUUAUUAUUUAAUGUCUUGUAUGUCUCCCAUGCUUAAUAUCGGUUAAUCACUUUAUCCUUUGGUGAGAAUUACAGUAACUGCUACUUUGCUAUGGCUCUGAUGUGAUCAACCCAUACAUUUCUAAGGAAGUUAUACAUGAAAUUAUGCUCGUCUGACUCAACAAGUAAUGCUAUUGUUUGUAUAACUUUGCUGCCCAGAUUUCCUAGGAAUGGGACAGCCUUUGAAUAACACAAUUAUGUGUGUGUAUUAAUGCUGCAGACCAUCUUGUACUAUAGACUGAGGCAGCAUUGUCUUUCUAUACCAAACUGUCUCUACUAGGUAGAGGAAACAUCUCAAACCAUUUGAGUGCAAAUGAAAAGCAACAUUUCAUCCACACACCAGAUACAGCAUCGUUACACUCUUGCUCUAUCUAUACAUUUUCUAAGUGCUUUAGUUUCAGUUUAAGGAAAUGUAUUGUGACCUAAAAACAUAAUGUAGCUUGUACCAAAGUCUGAUGAACUGUUGUCUUUUUUUAUUUGAUGUGAUCAGUCUUCAUUAACAAAAAAACUUAACUAAAUCAAAAAACACCUUUGUGUUUUGCUGUAAUAAGAAGACUACAGUUCACCUGAUGUUACCAAGCUACAUCUGUACCAAGCCGUGGUUGCUGUUGUGAUUGUGUUGCGUUAAAUAGCAAAUAUCAUCCAACUGUCUCCCGAGGUGCACAUAUAGAGCAAGCUAGAGCAC